rnacentral:hammerhead_ribozyme from 1 species
AUCCAGCUGACGAGUCCAAAAUAGGACAAAACGCACGUCCUCCAU